rnacentral:rRNA from 1 species
UACGAAGGGGGGCUAGCGUUGCUCGGAAUGACUGGGCGUAAAGGGCGCGUAGGCGGCUCAUACAGUCAGGCGUGAAAUUCCUGGGCUCAACCUGGGGACUGCGCUUGAGACGUGUGGGCUUGAGUGGGGAAGAGGGUCGUGGAAUUCCCAGUGUAGAGGUGAAAUUCGUAGAUAUUCGCAAGAACACCAGUGGCGAAGGCGGCUCACUGGCCCGGUACUGACGCUGAUGUGCGAAAGCGUGGGGGAGCAAACGGG